rnacentral:tRNA from 1 species
GGGGUUGUGGCUCAGUGGUAGAUCACUUGUCUAGCACAUGUGAGGCACUGGGUUUGAUCCUCAGCACCACA